ACAUGACUCUCGGCAACGGAUAUCUCGGCUCUCGCAUCGAUGAAGAACGUAGCGAAAUGCGAUACCUGGUGUGAAUUGCAGAAUCCCGCGAACCAUCGAGUCUUUGAACGCAAGUUGCGCCCGAGGCCUUCGGGCCGAGGGCACGCCUGCCUGGGCGUCACGC
rnacentral:rRNA from 32 species